rnacentral:rRNA from 1 species
AACGAACGCUGGCGGCAGGCUUAACACAUGCAAGUCGAACGCAUCCUUCGGGGUGAGUGGCAGACGGGUGAGUAACACGCGGGAACGUACCUUUCGGUUCGGGAUAACCCAGGGAAACUUGGGCUAAUACCGGAUACGUCCUUUGGGAGCAGUCCUUUGGGAGAAAGAUUCAUUGCCGAGAGAUCGGCCCGCGUCUGAUUAGCUAGUUGGUGGGGUAACGGCUCACCAAGGCGACGAUCAGUAGCUGGCUGAGAGGAUGAUCAGCCACACUGGGACUGAGACACGGCCCAGACUCCUACGGGAGGCAGCAGUGGGAAUAUUGGACAAUGGGCGCAAGCCUGAUCCAGCCAUGCCGCGUGAGUGAUGAAGGCCCUAGGGUUGUAAAGCUCUUUCGGC